GACGAACGCUGGCGGCGGGCUUAACACAUGCAAGUCGAACGGAAAGGCUCUGCUUGUGUGGGGUGCUCGAGUGGCGAACGGGUGAGUAACACGUGAGUAACCUGCCCUUGACUUUGGGAUAACUUCAGGAAACUGGGGCAAAUACCGGAUAUAAGCUCCUGCUGCAUGGUGGGGGUUGGAAAGUUUGGGCGGGUGGGGAUGUACGUGCGGCUUAUAAGCUGGUGGGUUGGGGGGUGGCUUAGCAGGGCAUUGGCGGGUAGCCGGCCUGAGAGGGUGACCGGCACCCUUGGGACUGAGCUACGGCCCGGACUACUACGGGAGGCAGCAGUGGGGAUUAUUGCCUGAUGGGCGGAAGCCUGAUGCAGCAACGCCGCGUGAGGGAUGACGGCCUUCGGGUUGUAACCCGCUUUCGCCUGUGACGAAGCGUGAGUGACGGUAAUGGGUAAAGAAGCACCGGCUAACUACGUG
rnacentral:rRNA from 1 species